CAGGGGAGCUUCUGACAACACUGAUGCGCCUAACUCCAUGGAGAGCUGGACGUGGCAGCUCAGUCUUCUCAUGCUUCACCCCAUGAAGAAUGUAAUAGAACUUGAAUCGUGAAUGUUGCACUUUCCUGAGUUCUGUUCACCAUGCCCUCAAUGUCUAGAUCUGUCACACGCGGAAGUACAGGACAAAGGAAGGUCAAUAAGAAUUUUUAACAAAAGAAGGCCCAGCAGCAACAGAUCUCCCGCAGAGAAGAAACCAUGAUGAAGCUAUUUCCCAAACAGCCUGAAAUUCUUUGUCCCCCAGAAACAGCAGCCCACCCAAUUUUUGGCAAAUCUCCACCCUCAUCCCAAAUAUAAGUAAAUGCAAACACUUAUCUAGGCUUACUACAUGCCGGGAACUGUUCCAAACCUCUUACAUAUAUUAACUCAUUUAAUCAUCACACCAACCCUAUGACAUGAACACUGUUUUU
rnacentral:lncRNA from 1 species